rnacentral:rRNA from 1 species
CAGUCGCCGCGGGAACACGUAGGGUGCAAGCGUUAAUCGGAAUUACUGGGCGUAAAGCGUGCGCAGGCGGUUAUAUAAGUCAGAUGUGAAAUCCCCGGGCUCAACCUGGGAACUGCAUUUGAGACUGUAUGGCUAGAGUGUGUCAGAGGGGGGUAGAAUUCCACGUGUAGCAGUGAAAUGCGUAGAUAUGUGGAGGAAUACCGAUGGCGAAGGCAGCCCCCUGGGAUAACACUGACGCUCGUGCACGAAAGCGUGGGGAGCAAACAGGAUUAGAUACCCGUGUAGUCCCUGUCUCUUAUAC